rfam:Pristionchus pacificus strain PS312 contig13372, whole genome shotgun sequence.
UCUUCAUUUCCCACACUCUCUCACCGGUCAGAGAGGCGGGACAGUGUGCGAAAUGGAGAGA